rnacentral:rRNA from 1 species
UAGGGAAUCUUCGGCAAUGGGGGCAACCCUGACCGAGCAACGCCGCGUGAGUGAAGAAGGUUUUCGGAUCGUAAAGCUCUGUUGUAAGAGAAGAACGUGUGUGAGAGUGGAAAGUUCACACAGUGACGGUAACUUACCAGAAAGGGACGGCUAACUACGUGCCAGCAGCCGCGGUAAUACGUAGGUCCCGAGCGUUGUCCGGAUUUAUUGGGCGUAAAGCGGGGGCAGGCGGUUUAAUAAGUCUGAAGUUAAAGGCAGUGGCUUAACCAUUGUUCGCUUUGGAAACUGUUGAACUUGAGUGACGAAAGGGAGAGUGGGAUUCCAUGUGUAGCGGUGAAAUGCGUAGAUAAAUGGAGGAACACCGGUGGCGAAAGCGGCACUUUGGUCUGUAACUGACGCUGAGGCUCGAAAGCGUGGGGAGCAAACAGG